rnacentral:rRNA from 1 species
GAUGAACGCUGGCGGCGUGCCUAAUACAUGCAAGUCGAGCGAACAGACGAGGAGCUUGCUCCUCUGACGUUAGCGGCGGACGGGUGAGUAACACGUGGAUAACCUACCUAUAAGACUGGGAUAACUUCGGGAAACCGGAGCUAAUACCGGAUAAUAUAUUGAACCGCAUGGUUCAAUAGUGAAAGACGGUUUUGCUGUCACUUAUAGAUGGAUCCGCGCCGCAUUAGCUAGUUGGUAGGGUAACGGCUUACCAAGGCAACGAUGCGUAGCCGACCUGAGAGGGGGGCGGGGAAAGCGGGAACGAACCAGCGGCCAGGACUGCGAGGGGAGGGGAGAGUGGGGAAGUUAGUGAAAUGGGCCAAAGGAUGACAGAGCAACGCGGGGGGGGAGAAAAGAGUAUGCGAAUCGAAAACCGCGGUUUGGAGGAAAAAAAAAAGGAAGAAGGAACAACGCAGGUCUUGGCGGGACCGAAAAAAAAAGGCAGGGCAAGCCCGGAC